UGUACAUCACGCUAAAAAUAGUCCUUGUGAUAAAGUCGAUCGUGGAGGGGGAGGAGGUGCCGGCAGCGCACAGAUGCCGGCGAGGGAGGCCAGGGGUUGGGAAGCCCGUGCUCCAAGGAUGGAGCAGAAGGGGCGUAAUUAGAGCUGGUAAUUAGCCCCAAGCAGCACUGAGGGAACCAAGUAAUUACAAGUGGGGGCUCAUUGCACCCCCUCCUCUUGGGAUGGAGGCUUUGCCAUCCGGGGAAAUGAGAAGCAAGCAGCUGCUGAAGCUGAAAUCGGGUUCCUCUGAAGGGAGACCGGGAUUUUUGGGUGUUCAGGGAGAGGAAGGCUCUCUGCAGGUACCGGGGAGAAGGCAGGCAGGAUGUGGGGACACGGGGAAGAGCCAAAGCUCGUGGAAGGAGCCCUAACGGGGAAGAGAGAGGAUCUCUGCUGGGAGCAGAGGGAGCCAGGGCCGGCGCUGGAAGCGACGCCUCGGCUCGGGAGCCCGUGUGGGGUGCAGGUGAUGGGCAGGGAUGGAAAAGCAAACGGUGUGCGGCUUUGGAGACGGUCCUUUCACUCCCGGCAGCUUCCACACACCCAAUCCCAGCUCUGCCCAGCCCUGUCCUGAUCCGUGCGGGAUACCAAGCUCCAGCCGGAGGAGCUGGGAUCCCGCUCUGCGCUGUGGAGGGGAGAGGCAGGAGAGCUGCCAGAACUGAAAGCUGGAUUUUCCAGCGCUUCUUCAAGCCGCGUGUCCCCGUUCCCUCCUCGGGCGGAGGCGCGGCGAGGGGUCCCUGUGCCACGGCACGGCCACGCCGCGGGGGCUGCGGGAACAACGCCCCGCACGCCGCUGCCGCCGGUGAUUGACCACCGGAGUGUGAGCAGGACGGGAGCUGACACCGCUGGGUCCAGCGCCCACCUCGCUGCCCAUGGGAGGAGGAAGAGGAGGAGGAGGAAGGGGACGCGAUGUGAGCCAGCACUCGGGAGCCCCGGGGUGCCGCUCAGCCUGUCCCCUCUGCCCACGCUGCCGCUGAUGGAAAGGACCCCAAAAUCCCUGGGGAGAAAUCACCUAGAGGGAUCCAGGAUGAGCAGCAGCCCAAAGCGAGGGAGACCCAGUGGCAGCAGCGACCCUCUCAGGGAGGGGAAACUGAGGCACGGUGGUGGGAGGAGGGGGUGGGCAGGGUUAAACUCCCUGAUUUGCAGUGAGGAAGGCGAUUUCUUCCCGCAGUUCUCUCUCAGCAUCCUUCAACUACAUCCCGGAGGACGUUGAGGCACCAAACACCAGCCCCGAGACCAGGCACAGUCUCAAAAACGUGAAGUGUGGUGCCAUUUGGAGGAAAAUCAAAGGUCCGAACGAUUUUUGGUCGGUAGCAUUACAUGAGAAUAAAGCACUGGACAGGACUGGAAAAAAAGGCCUCUGGAGACAGCAUGCAAACAUUGCAACGAGUUUAAAGCAAAACAACCCAAAAAAAAAAGCGUCUGGCGGGGACGCGGCCGCGCUCUCCCGACCGGGCGGCGAGUCCAGCGUCUCCCCCGUCAACCAUCACUUCUGUCGCUGGGGGUUUCCUUUUCAUGUGUCCAUUUCAUUGGUUUAUUUAUUAUUAUUCUCCUUUUAGCAAC